GGAUGGCCACCCUCCUCAGCCACUCCGCCAAGCCAAGCGGAAGAGUGCUGUCAUGUGUGCUCCGUGUUCAGAAGGGAAGGCAGGAGCUGCCCGGCGGGACAUAACAAUUCGGGGGUUGGGGAAGGACCCCGAGACCAGCAGGCAGGGUCCAUCACUCUGGCUGAUGAAACACUGGGGUGAAUAAUGAGAACCCCGAGGGGGUCAUGCAAGGCCACCUAAGGAACCAUUACAGAAUUCCUGGCAGUUUAUUUCCUGUCAUGGAUGUUUGCACAGACGGCUCUGGUACAACACCAUCAGGGUGUCAGAUAGUGGGAGUCACACAGGAUGAAGCCUCUUUAGAUCGGCGCCCCUCGCUUAGUCAUACGCUGUCAAGUUUCCUCCGUGUGUUUUCAUGGCUUGUUAGCUCGUUUCUUUUUAUGGCCGAAUACUGUUCCACCGCCUGGAUGGACCAAGUUUGUUUAUCCAGCACCUACUGAAGGACAUCUUCGAUGCCUCCAAGUUUUGGCGAUUGUGAAUAAAACCA